rnacentral:sRNA from 1 species
UGUUAAGCGUGUAGGAUAACGUUGCGUCAGCAACGGCCCGUAGGGCGAGCGAAGCGAGUCAUCCUGCACGAUCCACCA